UAACACUAACUGGAGGACCGAACCGACUAAUGUUGAAAAAUUAGCGGAUGACUUGUGGCUGGGGGUGAAAGGCCAAUCAAACCGGGAGAUAGCUGGUUCUCCCCGAAAGCUAUUUAGGUAGCGCCUCGUGAAUUCAUCUCCGGGGGUAGAGCACUGUUUCGGCAAGGGGGUCAUCCCGACUUACCAACCCGAUGCAAACUGCGAAUACCGGAGAAUGUUAUCACGGGAGACACACGGCGGGUGCUAACGUCCGUCGUGAAGAGGGAAACAACCCAGACCGCCAGCUAAGGUCCCAAAGUCAUGGUUAAGUGGGAAACGAUGUGGGAAGGCCCAGACAGCCAGGAUGUUGGCUUAGAAGCAGCCAUCAUUUAAAGAAAGCGUAAUAGCUCACUGGUCGAGUCGGCCUGCGCGGAAGAUGUAACGGGGCUAAACCAUGCACCGAAGCUGCGGCAGCGACGCUUAUGCGUUGUUGGGUAGGGGAGCGUUCUGUAAGCCUGUGAAGGUGGCCUGUGAGGGUUGCUGGAGGUAUCAGAAGUGCGAAUGCUGACAUAAGUAACGAUAAAGCGGGUGAAAAGCCCGCUCGCCGGAAGACCAAGGGUUCCUGUCCAACGUUAAUCGGGGCAGGGUGAGUCGACCCCUAAGGCGAGGCCGAAAGGCGUAGUCGAUGGGAAACAGGUUAAUAUUCCUGUACUUGGUGUUACUGCGAAGGGGGGACGGAGAAGGCUAUGUUGGCCGGGCGACGGUUGUCCCGGUUUAAGCGUGUAGGCUGGUUUUCCAGGCAAAUCCGGAAAAUCAAGGCUGAGGCGUGAUGACGAGGCACUACGGUGCUGAAGCGACAAAUGCCCUGCUUCCAGGAAAAGCCUCUAAGCAUCAGGUAACAUUAAAUCGUACCCCAAACCGACACAGGUGGUCAGGUAGAGAAUACCAAGGCGCUUGAGAGAACUCGGGUGAAGGAACUAGGCAAAAUGGUGCCGUAACUUCGGGAGAAGGCACGCUGAUAUGUAGGUGAAGCGACUUGCUCGUGGAGCUGAAAUCAGUCGAAGAUACCAGCUGGCUGCAACUGUUUAUUAAAAACACAGCACUGUGCAAACACGAAAGUGGACGUAUACGGUGUGACGCCUGCCCGGUGCCGGAAGGUUAAUUGAUGGGGUUAGCGGUAACGCGAAGCUCUUGAUCGAAGCCCCGGUAAACGGCGGCCGUAACUAUAACGGUCCUAAGGUAGCGAAAUUCCUUGUCGGGUAAGUUCCGACCUG
rnacentral:rRNA from 1 species